CUCCGGUUGAUUCCCGCGGGACCCGACUGCUAUCGGAUUGAGAUUUAGCCAUGCGAGUCGAACGUCCCCCUGUUGCGGGGGGCGUGGCGUACGGCUCAGUAACACGUAGUCAACCUGCCCUGGAGACAAGGACAACCCCGGGAAACUGGGAUUAAUCCUUGAUAGGUCAUCUCAUCUGGAAGGAGAGAUGGCUUAAAGGGGUACGCGGGCUUCUUCCGCGAAUCUGCUCCAGGAUGGGACUGCGUCCGAUCAGGCUGUUGGCGGGGUAAUGGCCCACCAAACCUGUAACCGGUACGGGCCUUGAGAGAGGUGGCCCGGAGAUGGACACUGAGAGAAGGGUCCAGGUCCUACGGGGCGCAGCAGGCGCGAAACCUUCGCAAUGCGCGAAAGCGUGACGAGGUUAAUCCGAGUGACUCCCGCUGAGGGGGUCUUUUGUCAGCUGUAAAUAGGCAGGCGAAUAAGGGGAGGGCAAGCCUGGUGUCAGCCGCCGCGGUAAUACCAGCUCCUCGAGUGGUCGGGGCGAUUAUUGGGCCUAAAGCAUCCGUAGCCGGUUCCGUAGGUCCUCUGUUAAAUCCAACCGCUCAACGGUUGACCUGCAGAGGAUACCGCGGGACUAGGAGGCGGGAGAGGCGGACGGUACUCCGCGUGUAGGGGUAAAAUCCUUUGAUCCGCGGAAGACCACCAGUGGCGAAGGCGGUCCGCCAGAACGCGCUCGACGGUGAGGGAUGAAAGCUGGGGGAGCGAACCGGAUUAGAUACCCGGGUAGUCCCAGCCGUAAACGAUGCUAGCUAGAUGAUUCAUUCGCAAGUCGCGAAUGAAGUGUCGCAGGGAAGCCGUUAAGCUAGCCGCCUGGGGAGUACGGUCGCAAGACUGAAACCUAAAGGAAUGGCGGGGGAGCA
rnacentral:rRNA from 1 species